rnacentral:rRNA from 1 species
ACGGGAGGCAGCAGUGGGGGAUAUUGCACAAUGGAGGAAACUCUGAUGCAGCAACGCCGCGUGAGUGAAGAAGGUCUUCGGAUUGUAAACCUAUGUUGUCAGGGACGAAUCAUGACGGUACCUGAAGAGAAAGCCCCGGCUAACUACGUGCCAGCAGCCGCGGUAAUACGUAGGGAGCGAGCGUUGUCCGGAUUUACUGGGUGUAAAGGGUGCGUAGGCGGGUCUGCAAGUCAGGCGUGAAAUCCAACGGCUUAACUGUGGGGCUGCGCUUGAAACUGUAGAUCUUGAGUGAAGGAGAGGCAAGCGGAAUUCCUAGUGUAGCGGUGAAAUGCGUAGAUAUUAGGAGGAACACCAGUGGCGAAGGCGGCUUGCUGGGCUUUAACUGACGCUGAGGCACGAAAGCAUGGGGAGCAAACAGGAUUAGAUACCCUGGUA